ACAGCCACAUCACGUUGAAAAACCAGUUCCCAUAUGAUCACCAAAGUUAAGCAAUGUUGGGCCUGGUCAGUAAAUAGAUGGGUGAUUGCUUGGAAAUAUCAGGUGCUGUAA